CGGGCACCGAAGACGUGGAUGUCGAAGAACAGGAAGACUGUCUCUCAUUGGCCAUCAGUGAGCAGCUGGCUGACUGGCAGGCUUCUUCACCCCUGAGGACCAUUCAGGAGGAAGUUGUUGCAAUUGAACCUGCCCUCAAAGGGACCAUCAGCCAAUCACAGAUCACUCAGGCGUUUCUGAGACACGAGGUUCCACUGGGAUUAACAACGUUCCGUCAGCUCCUCCUAAUGUUCUGUGAUGCUGACCAUCCAGCUCAGGCAGAGUUUGGGCAUGUGUCUCACACGAGGAGUCCCCAGGGGUUGCACUGAGCCCCCACCAGCUUCUGUGGAUCCCAUGGAAACAGAAAGAUGGCUCCAAGGGUUCCAGAGAAUGGAGAGAGCCAUGCACAUAUGUGACAGCCAGAACACUGGUUACAUAGACCAGGACAAAGCCAGACGUCUGAUUCAGAACUACAACCACAUGUUCAACCUGAACCUGAGUCCCCUGGGGAUCAGUGAGGUCACCCAUGGUCAUGGAGGGAGAAGACAGGGCAAUGUCCACCUGGACACAGCCCUACAGUACCUAAAGGAACUGUGAUGAAGGUGUUUGGUGAGGACUGUUUUAUGUAUGUAAGUAAAUAUUGGCAUUAUCUUUGUAGUAGCUACUAUGUAAUGUGAGUCUUGUUUAGAAAGCAACAUUUGGGCAGAUAAGGCUUAUUACAUGUAAAAUAUUUUACAAAUAAAAAUGUAAUGAUAAUGCUGUAAAACACUAUCUUAAAUUUAAACCAUUAACUUAGUUAAUACCAUUGGUGUUUAAUAUGAGGGUUUCAGCAUGAAAUGUAUUUUAUGUUUUUGUUUUACAAUGUUAAUAUGUUUUGAUGUUAAACUGGUGGCAGUUGUGAAAAAGUAAAUAGUUGGAAGAGUUGCAGAGUUAAUUGAAAAUAAUUCCAUUGUUGAUUAGA